rnacentral:rRNA from 1 species
GAUGAACGCUGGCGGCGUGCCUAAUACAUGCAAGUCGAGCGAACAGACGAGGAGCUUGCUCCUCUGACGUUAGCGGCGGACGGGUGAGUAACACGUGGAUAACCUACCUAUAAGACUGGGAUAACUUCGGGAAACCGGAGCUAAUACCGGAUAAUAUAUUGAACCGCAUGGUUCAAUAGUGAAAGACGGUUUUGCUGUCACUUAUAGAUGGAUCCGCGCCGCAUUAGCGAGUUGGUAAGGUAACGGCUUACCAAGGCAACGAUGCGUAGCCGACCUGAGAGGGUGAUCGGCCGCACUGGAACUGAGACACGGUCCAGACUCCUACGGGAGGCAGCAGUAGGGAAUCUUCCGCAAUGGGCGAAAGCCUGACGGAGCAACGCCGCGUGAGUGAUGAAGGUCUUCGGAUCGUAAAACUCUGUUAUUAGGGAAGAACAAAUGUGUAAGUAACUAUGCACGUCUUGACGGUACCUAAUCAGAAAGCCACGGCUAACUACGUG